AGAGUUUGAUCCUGGCUCAGGAUGAACGCUAGCGACAGGCUUAACACAUGCAAGUCGAGGGGCAGCACAGGGUAGCAAUACUUGGGUGGCGACCGGCGCACGGGUGAGUAACGCGUAUGCAACUUACCUAUCAGAGGGGGAUAGCCCGGCGAAAGUCGGAUUAAUACCCCAUGAAACAGGGGUCCCGCAUGGGAAUAUUUGUUAAAGAUUCAUCGCUGAUAGAUAGGCAUGCGUUCCAUUAGGCAGUUGGCGGGGUAACGGCCCACCAAACCGACGAUGGAUAGGGGUUCUGAGAGGAAGGUCCCCCACAUUGGUACUGAGACACGGACCAAACUCCUACGGGAGGCAGCAGUGAGGAAUAUUGGUCAAUGGCCGAGAGGCUGAACCAGCCAAGUCGCGUGAAGGAAGAAGGAUCUAUGGUUUGUAAACUUCUUUUAUAGGGGAAUAAAGUGGAGGACGUGUCCUUUUUUGUAUGUACCCUAUGAAUAAGCAUCGGCUAACUCCGUGCCAGCAGCCGCGGUAAUACGGAGGAUGCGAGCGUUAUCCGGAUUUAUUGGGUUUAAAGGGUGCGUAGGCGGGCUCUUAAGUCAGCGGUAAAAUUGCGGUGCUCAACGCCGUAGAGCCGUUGAAACUGGGAGCCUUGAGUGAGCGAGAAGUAGGCGGAAUGCGUGGUGUAGCGGUGAAAUGCAUAGAUAUCACGCAGAACUCCGAUUGCGAAGGCAGCUUACUAAACCAUAACUGACACUGAAGCACGAAAGCGUGGGGAUCAAACAGGAUUAGAUACCCUGGUAGUCCACGCAGUAAACGAUGAUUACUAGGAGUUUGCGAUACAAUGUAAGCUCUACAGCGAAAGCGUUAAGUAAUCCACCUGGGGAGUACGCCGGCAACGGUGAAACUCAAAGGAAUUGACGGGGGCCCGCACAAGCGGAGGAACAUGUGGUUUAAUUCGAUGAUACGCGAGGAACCUUACCCGGGUUUGAACGUAGUCUGACCGGAGUGGAAACACUUUUUCUAGCAAUAGCAGAUUACGAGGUGCUGCAUGGUUGUCGUCAGCUCGUGCCGUGAGGUGUCGGCUUAAGUGCCA
rnacentral:rRNA from 1 species